rnacentral:rRNA from 1 species
AUUGAACGCUGGCGGCAGGCCUAACACAUGCAAGUCGAGCGGAUGAAGGGAGCUUGCUCCUGGAUUCAGCGGCGGACGGGUGAGUAAUGCCUAGGAAUCUGCCUGGUAGUGGGGGAUAACGUCCGGAAACGGGCGCUAAUACCGCAUACGUCCUGAGGGAGCAAGUGGGGGAUCCUCGGACCUCACGCUAUCAGAUGAGCCUAGGUCGGAUUAGCUAGUUGGUGGGGUAAAGGCCUGCCAAGGCGACGAUCCGUAACUGGUCUGAGAGGAUGAUCAGUCACACUGGAACUGAGACACGGUCCAGACUCCUACGGGAGGCAGCAGUGGGGAAUAUUGGACAAUGGGCGAAAGCCUGAUCCAGCCAUGCCGCGUGUGUGAAGAAGGUCUUCGGAUUGUAAAGCACUUUAAGUUGGGAGGAAGGGCAGUAAGUUAAUACCUUGCUGUUUUGACGUUACCAACAGAAUAAGCACCGGCUAACUUCGUG